rnacentral:lncRNA from 10 species
AGAGUCCUCACUGAGUUUAGAGAGGAGAGGUGCCCAGAUCAGAGGCAAAUAAUGAUGUCUAAGCUGGGGGUCAGCAAACUAUUUUCAUAAAGGGCCAGGUGAAGGUAAACAUUUUGGGCUUUGUGGGUGAUAUGGUCUCUGUCACAGCUCCAACAUUUUAGUGCGAAAGUAGCCAUAGGCAAUACAUAAACAAGGGAGCAGAGCUGUGUUCCAAUAAAACUUUAUUUACAAAAGCAAUUGUUGGACUAGAUUUGGCCUUUGGGGCAUAAUUUGCUACUCCCUGAUCUGCCAAUCCCAGAGCAAUGACAUUGUUGAUCUUCUGAAUCAAGUGUAGAACAACUUUCGGAUUUCUUGUUAUGUGAGAGGCAGAAAACUCCAUCUUUUAAAGGUCUUUUUAAGCUCUUGCUAUUCACAAGUUUGCCUUAGACCAGCAGAAUCAGCAUCACCUGGGAGCUUGUUAGAAAUGCAGAAUCUCAGGCCCCCACUCCAACCUCCUAAAUCAGAAUGUGCAUUUUAAUAAGAAGCCCUGGUGAUUGGAAGGUUUACUAGAGCUUAAGAAGCACUGAUUGGAGCCACUGUUGAUUGAAUGUCUUAUUACUUGCAGAUGAAAGCACCCCUAACCAUUGCUGGCAGGAACAAGUCUUCAAGAUCUUAUAUGCUUUGCUAAGGACUGUGGUUUUGUCCUGAAAGACAUUAAAGGGCUUUACGUGGGGAAUGAAAUGAUCAGUUUUGGGAGGCAUACAACUCAUCUCUUUGAUGAAAUAAUAAGCUCCUAAAAAUCAGAAUGUACUAAAGAAAUAUCCCUGAUAUUUAUCCUACUUUCCAAGGCCAGCCAAAUAGGUAGACCCCACCACUGCCACACCAUUGGAUGGAAUUCAAAAGCAGCCUCGCCUCUUCUAUAAGACCUGCUCUCCUGUCCAUACCUACUGCCUCAGGCCCCAGGAGGAGUCUCUGUUUCUGGCAUAUCCAUGGGGCUUAAAAGUAAUUGGAAGGCUGUAACUCCAGCAUUGUAAUUUGGCAUUUGAGACUGGAGAACUUUAAUUUUAGUUAUACUUAACACUGCCAUCCCCCAGCUUGGUUCAAUUUAUCUUCUGAAUAUAUGUUCACCUCUCCGAUAAGACUAUAAGCUACUUUGGCCU